ACUGGGACUCGCAAGUUUGGUUGCAUUUUCAUUUCAGACCAUGGCAACCAUCAGUAAACCAUGAGAAAGACAGCAUGCUGUUUUUUCAACAGAUCAGGACAAGAAGUAAGAUCGUUCUCAAUUUAUUUACUGACAUGCUAUCCUUGCAACUAACAAAAGUAGUUUUAUAAUGAUAGGUUCAUAAUUACAAAUUCUCAGUACGCAUCAGAAGCAGGACAAAGAAAACCUGGAAUUUUGAAGCGGUUGCUGCAACUCGGAGUCACUCGGGGAAAGAGCCUGUCUUCUGACCAUCUCAGCUCCAUAGAAAACCUUAAAGACAGCAAGGGAAAUGUAAGUAGCUGGCAAGAAAUUCAAAAUCCCACGUGAAAUUAGAGAUUAAGAUUUUGGAAGCAAUUUGUAGUUAACUCUUUAAGUCUUAACUGCAAUACUUCAUACAUUGAAGCCUUUAGAGUUCCUGCUAUGAUCUAGGGCACAACCUCCACUCAUCUAUGGCACAAAACCACUUAUCUACUAGUGUUUCAAUAUAGACAAGAGUGGCCAUGGAUUCCCUGUUGCAUUUUUAUUCCGUCUAUUUCUAGCGAUUGCCAAGCAGGCCCGUCCCCAAAUAGGGAACUAGUUACUUUGGCGGCAUGAUGAGGGUUGCAUGUACUUGAACAUCUAUUAACUCAGACGUGGAGGGGCACACAUUUUCGUAGCUGGACAGAACAGUUAUUGUUACACUGAAGUCUUUCAACAUAUGAACAUGUGGUAUAAUAAAAUAUCUCUCAACUCAAAGGAUGUUGCAGAAGUCAGCUUACCAAGAAUAUCUCUAAUAAUGUAUUUCACCCAACUAGUUAGGUGUCACUACAGUAUAUCAUCAACUAUAAGUUCAAUUGUACCCUCUGAUAGACAUUUCGGUCUCGUUCACUGGAUUUGUUUCUAAACAGAUUCAAAGGGUUACAGUUGCCAUGUUUAAGAAAUUGUACUGCACAAGUAUGUGUAGAUAAUACAACUGCUACAAUAGACUAAUCUAGAUCAAUUCAUAGGAGUUCAUCAGAAAAAAUUAAAAUAGUACAACUCAGUAUGCUUAGUUCUAUUGUCAGAGGGUAUAAAUUGGCAUUAGGCCAAUAAUCUGAAAGUGACAACAGAGCUAAUAAACCAAGGGCUCUUAGGGCUUUUGCAAGGAUGCAGUCCAAAUUCCAAUGGCACUCAACAUGUGCAAGAAACUAUGUCCAGAAGAUAUGGCAGGUUUACCUGAGUUGUACUGUGAGGAGCUAUAGGAAAACGGCCAUUGUAUUGGUCAAUUCAGUGCACAAUAGGAACGAUUUCUUGUUCAGCACGCGGUAGGGAAGCAUCCGUGUCAGAGACCUCUGAUAUUCAGUUUGACCAAAUUCAUGCAUUGCCAUACAUCGACUUGGCCACUCUCUCUCUCAGCAACAUCGACACGGCCAUGCGCCCGGAGGCGGAAUGCAGCACCAUGCACAUCACCCUGUCCGGGGGCGCCUCCAUCGGCUUCAUCAGCCCCUCUGCCUCCUCGACCUCGCCUGCC
rnacentral:lncRNA from 1 species